rnacentral:rRNA from 1 species
UGAGGAACAUGACCUUCGGCGGGGGAUAGCCGGCCCAACGGCCGGGUAAUACCGCGUACGACCACAUGGGGACAUCCCUGAGUGGUGAAAGCAGCAAUGCGCCGAUGGAGUGCCUCGCGGCCUAUCAGCUAGUUGGUGAGGUCAUGGCUCACCAAGGCGACGACGGGUAGCUGGUCCGAGAGGAUGACCAGCCACAUUGGGACUGAGACACGGCCCAGAUCCCGUACGGGG